UGCUAUAAUGCAGUCGAACGCACAGCGAAAGGUGCUUGCACCUUUCAAGUGAGUGGCGAACGGGUGAGUAACACGUGGACAACCUGCCUCAAGGCUGGGGAUAACAUUUGGAAACAGAUGCUAAUACCGAAUGAAACUUAGUGUCGCAUGAUACGAAGUUAAAAGGCGCUUUGGCGUCACCUAGAGAUGGAUCCGCGGUGCAUUAGUUAGUUGGUGGGGUAAAGGCCUACCAAGACAAUGAUGCAUAGCCGAGUUGAGAGACUGAUCGGCCACAUUGGGACUGAGACACGGCCCAAACUCCUACGGGAGGCUGCAGUAGGGAAUCUUCCACAAUGGGCGAAAGCCUGAUGGAGCAACGCCGCGUGUGUGAUGAAGGCUUUCGGGUCGUAAAGCACUGUUGUAUGGUAAUAACAGCUAGAAUAGGAAUUGAUUUUUGUUUG
rnacentral:rRNA from 1 species